UCAGAAUACUUUUGGAGCUGGAACGGGUAUUGAGAUCACCUAAUCCAAUUCACAAAGGUCUCCAGCCCUUCGGUGCAGAUGAGGAAACCAAGGUCCAGAGCAGUGAACCGAUUUGUCCCAGGCCCUCCUGGGCCUUGGCAUGUAGUUUUGGGCUUUUAACAAUUACACUUUCUGGAAACACUUAUGAAGACUUUGUUCCUACAGUUUCUUACAUCCUCCCUGUGCUGUGAAUUUGGAUCUGGAGUCAAACAAACCUGGACUGAAAUCCUGGCCCUGCACGCCUCCAGCGUAUGUGACACCAGCCAAGUUACCAUCCCUGGCCACUCUUCCCUCAUGUGGAAAAGAGAGGGAGGACAACGGGGGCUUCUUCGUGUGGCUGGUGUAGGAAUCCAAUGGAAAAGACCUGUAAAACUACGUUCCAUGCAGUUUGCCAACUGAUUUGACCAAUACUUAUCAAGCACAAGCCACGAGCCAGACAUCCACCAGGGCCUGGGAGAGAAGGGUGAAGAAGACUGUCCAGGACCUCGCAGUGCUUAGAGUCUAGAGACGGGCACAGACAGACCAGGCCUCUGCCAAACUCUCCUUAGGCAGGAACACAGAAAGCCCUUGAAGAAUCACAGAGGACCAAAGACUCGGGAGGGAAACACUAGGAUGCAGGACAGGAGAAACGUGCCACUCUGGGAAUGCGACUCAACACUGACUUGACCCUGCUGCUCAGAAGCUGGUGAUUUGGGGUACGUUGCUUUGCCUCUCUGAGUCUUACUUUCCCUAGCUUUAAAUUGGGCAUGGAUUAAUUACUUAAUUCAGUUAACUACUUAAUUAAAAUAAUGGAGUUAAUGGGUGAGACGGU